CCGUUACUGUUUCAACAGCCAUCGGUGUUUUAUGUGUGUAUUCUUAAACAAGUAUUAUUUUUCUCUCGUCUUUAGCAAGUAUCACUCUCUACUGUCCUUAUAUAUUAUUCUAUAUUCUGCAUUUCCAUCCAGAUUCUCGUGUAUACCAUGACGGUCCGGGAUUGGGGGUAUUGUUUAUUUCUGUAUUCUUUAAAUUGUUAUGUCAUUUUUUUCUACAUUUUAUUUAUCUUACUCAUUAUUCUUUCUUUAUUUUUCACAUUUUGUCAUCCCAAUAUAUUUUACUUACUGAUGUUUAG
rnacentral:lncRNA from 1 species